GGGGAAUAUUGCACAAUGGGGGGAACCCUGAUGCAGCCAUGCCGCGUGAAUGAAGAAGGCCUUCGGGUUGUAAAGUUCUUUCGGUGACGAGGAAGGUUGAUAGGUUAAUAGCCUAUCAAAUUGACGUUAAUCACAGAAGAAGCACCGGCUAACUCCGUGCCAGCAGCCGCGGUAAUACGGGGGGUGCGAGCGUUAAUCGGAAUAACUGGGCGUAAAGGGCACGCAGGCGGUGACUUAAGUGAGAUGUGAAAGCCCCGAGCUUAACUUGGGAAUUGCAUUUCAUACUGGGUCGCUAGAGUACUUUAGGGAGGGGUAGAAUUCCACGUGUAGCGGUGAAAUGCGUAGAGAUGUGGAGGAAUACCGAAGGCGAAGGCAGCCCCUUGGGAAUGUACUGACGCUCAUGUGCGAAAGCGUGGGGAGCAAACAGGAUUAGAUACCCUGGUAGUCCACGCUGUAAACGAUGUCGAUUUGGGGAUUGGGCUUUGAGCUUGGUGCCCGUAGCUAACGUGAUAAAUCGACCGCCUGGGGAGUACGGCCGCAAGGUUA
rnacentral:rRNA from 1 species